rfam:Solanum lycopersicum cultivar Heinz 1706 chromosome 12, whole genome shotgun sequence.
UUCAGUUGAUUUCUCAGGUGCUCACUCAGCUAAUAGUUAUUAUUUAAGAAACUCAAUAAUAUUGGCAGCAAGGAGAAUGGUGACUUUCAGGAUGAUAACUAUUGGCUGAGUGAGCAUCACGGAAAUCGACGUGAU